AAACAUUAGUUAUGAGCAUUUCAGCUCAUUUUACCCUAAAAAGAAGGGUUGGGGCGCUGAAUUAAGAAGAGAGAAGAGAAGAGAGAAAACCUAACUCUCUUUGAUCUUCAAACCACCAUAACUUGAGCUACGGAGCUCCGAUUGACGAGCCGUUUGUGGCCACGCGUCGCUCUUUUCAUCCUCUACAUUUCUAUCUAAGUUUUGUGGGAUACUCCAACAUGGAUUCUAAGUGGGUUCUAUCCCUACUUCAUAUGGGCUGAGUGCAUUUGAUGGUUUUGGUGCACAAUUGGGAGAUUGGUGUUGCUUGAGGAGCUUUGGUGAGGCUUAGGGCUAAGGUUGGUGGAGACUUCCAAAGAAGAGGCUCAAUUGAUUUGGCUACAAGAGGUACGGUUUAAGUUUCAUUUAAGUACCGUGUGGUGUGAUGAGAAU